rnacentral:lncRNA from 1 species
UAUUAAUUCUUUAAAUUCAGGAACAUGGGAUAUCUUUAUUUAUUUGAAUUAUUAUUUCAUAGUUCUCAGCAUAUGUUUUUCAUAUCCUUGGUCAGGUUUAUUCCUAGGUAUUUUAUUUAUUUAUUUAUUGGUGUGAUCUUUAAAAUGUAUUAUUUUUAAUAUUUCUUUUCUAACAUUUCAUUAUUACUAUAUAGACAUGCACCAAUUUCUGACUGUUAAUUUUGUAUUCUGUUACUUUGCUGAAUUUAUCAGAUUGAGUAGUUUUUGUGUGAAAUCCUUUGGGGUUUUCUAUAUAUAGUAUCAUGUCAACUGCAUAUAGUGACAAUUUUAUCUUUUCAAAUUUGGAUACCUUUUAUUUAUUUUUGUUGUCUGAAUGCUAUGCAUAGGACUUCCAAUACUGUGUUGAAUAAAGCUGGUAAGAGUGGACAUCCUUGGUUUUAGCAAGAAGGCUUUCAGCUUUUCUAGAGCCAACACUUUUAACAACCAUUAUGUUAUUUCUAUUUUCAUGUCUGAUGGUCAAAUCAUUACAUUUUAACAUCUCAACACAAUUUUUAUCAUAGAAUGGUGUCAUUUUGUGAUCACGUUACAUUAUAUACCACUCAACACAAAUUUGUUUCAUAUUAUUUUUCCAUCAAAGUGGGGACAGGCAUACAAAAGCAGGAUAAAUACUACCUUUCAGAAUGUUAAAUUUGAGCAGCAUUAGUCUGAAGACCAAUGGAAAUCCUCACUCUUUGCCUUAUCAUAAUACUUGUAAGAAGCUAUUUGACAGGUCAUGUAACUGAAGACUAGUUUAUAAUAACAGCAAUGGGUCUGAAUUGAGGUGUAAGUAAUAGUUCUCAAGUAAAUAUCUCUACUUUUCAUUUUUGAUUGGAAAACUGCUUGCCAUCCUUAUUUCUUAGUUUUAGGUCAAUAAACUGAAAUUAACAUAUGCCUUCCAGUUUAAAGGAUGCUGCCUCUAUUGGUGAAAUUAUCUUUCAUUAUUUGAAGGACUUUGAAAAGAGAAGCUUCCUGGAUAGAGAUGAUAAUGUUUUGUCCAUUGUGUUUUCCACCCUUAAUAGAUUUUACUUUUAAAGCAGUUUUAGGCUCAUAGCAAAAUUGAGCAGAAAAAUGCAGAGUUCUCAUAUUCCACUGAUACCCACUAUCAACAUCCCCUACCAAAGUGGUACAUUUCUCACAAUUGAUGAACCCAUAUUGACACAUCUUUAUCACCUGAAGUUCAUGGUUUACGUUAGGGUUCACUCUUGAUGUUGUGCCUUCAGUGGGUUUUGACAAAUGCGUAAUAAACUGUAUCCAUCAUUAUGGUAUCAUACAGAGUAGAUUCACUGCCCCAAAAAUCCUUUGUGUUCCUCCUAUUCCUCCUCCCUACUUUCCCUGGCGACCACUGAUCUUUUUACCUUCUGCAUAGUUUUGCCUUUUCCAGAAUGUCCUAUAGCCAUAAUUAUAUAGUAUUUAGCCUUAUCAGAUAGGCUACAUACUGUAUAAUUCUAACUAUACAUAACUAACUAUGUAGUAAUAUUCAUUUAAGUUUCCUUAAUGUCAUUACAUGGUUUGAUAGCUCAUUUGUUUUUAGGGUGGAAUAGUAUUCCAUUUUUUGGAUGUAUCACAGUGUAUACAUCCAUUUGCCUACUGAAGAACAUCUUGGUUGCUUCCAAGUUGUGGCAAUUAUGAAUAAAGCUACUAUAAAUACCUAUAUACAGGUUCUUGUGUGAUUAUAAGUUAUAAACAUAUUCAAGUAAAUAUCAAGGAGUACAAUUGUUGGGUUGUAAGGUGAGAGUUUUUUUAGUUUUGUAAGAAACUGCCAAACUGCCAUUUGGAGUGGCUGUAUCAUUUUUCAUUCUCACCAGUGAUAAAUGAGAGUUUUAUUGUUGAGAGUUUGCUGUUGCUCCACAUUCUUGUCAGCAUUUUGUAUUGUCACUGCUCUGCAUUUUUGCCUUUCUAAUAAGUGUGUAGUGGCAUCUCAUUAUCUUAAUUUGCAAUUCCAUAAUUAUUAAGAUGUUGAGCAUCUUUUCAUAUACCUAUGUUCCAUCUGUACAUUUUCUUUGGUGUCUGUUCACAUAUUUUGUCCAUUGUCUCAUUGGGUUGUUCAUUUUCUUAUUGUUGAUUUUUAAGAGUUCUUUGUAUGUUUUGGAUAACAGUCCUUUAUUAGGUACACCUUUUGCAAAUAUUUUCUCUUAGUCAGUGGCUUGUCUUCUUGUUCUCAUGAAAGUUCUGUCAUGUUUUUAAUUGUAGAAUUAGACAAAAGAAUAGCCAAAGAUUAGUAAUAUUAUUUAGAGAGCAAAUUAUUUUCUGUUUUCCUGAUUUCAUCUGAGAUAGAAAGCUGACCUGUACUGAUUUCCAGUCUCACAAUAAUUCCAGUGAAAUAAAACCAAAGGGGGUAGGAAAGCUUAGCAGAUUCACUAAAAGUUAGAGUCAGGAGACAGUUUUCUACCUAUAGAGAAAGACAGACAGAAACUAAAUAUGUAAAGCAUUUAUUUUAACUAUGCCUUGGAGCUGGGGACAUUAUUCAUUAUUCUUCUAAAUCCAUAUUAUGGAUUUUAUUUUCCUUCCACAUGAAUAUUUCAAUAUCUAGUUUAGAUUGUUGAAGUAAGUUUCCUGCUGGGCAUUUUUAAGUUUUUAUUUUAACACUCUUCUGUUCUGUUUACUCUUGUCUUUCCUUUUAGAAAUUUACCACUGUCUUCUCUUUAGAAAUUCCAUUAACAAUUUAUUUUUAUUAUUUAUUUUAUUUUAUAAUAAUUUUUAUUUUAUCCAUUAUAGCUGGUUUACAGUGUUUUGUCAAUUUUCUACUGUGUAGCAAGGUGACCCAGUUAUACACACAUGUAUGCAUCCUUUUUUCUCACAUUAUCAUGCUCCAUCAUGAGUGACUAGAUAUAGUUCCCAGUGCUAUACAGUAGGAUCUCAUUGCUUAUCCAUUCCAAAGGAAUAGUUUGCAUCUAUUAACCCCAAAUUCCCAAUCCAUCCCACUCCCUCUUGGCAAUCACAAGUCUGUUCUCCAUGUCCAUGAUUUUCUUUUCUGUGGAAAGUUUCAUUUGUGCCAUAUAUUAGAUUCCAGGUAUAAGUGAUGUCAUACGGUAUUUGUCUUUCUCUUUCUGACUUCACUUAGUAUGAGAGUCUCUAGUCCAUCCAUGUUGCUGCAAAUGGCAUUAUUUUGUUCUUUUUCAUGGCUGAGUAGUAUUCCAGUGUGUAUAUAUUCCACAUCUUAAUCCAUUCAUCUGUCGAUGGACAUUUACAUUGUUUCCAUGUCUUGACUAUUGUGAAUAGUGCUACAAUGAACAUACAGGUGCGUGUGUCUUUUCAAGGAAAAUUUUGUCUGGAUAUAUGCCCAAGAGUGGGAUUGCUGGGUCCUAUGGUAAUUCCAUGUAUAGUUUUCUAAAGUACCUCCAUACUGUUUUCCAUAGUGUUGUGCCAACUUACAUUCCCACCAACAGUGAAGGACGGUUCCCUUUUCUCCACACCCUCUCCAGCGUUUGUUAUUUGUGGACUUAUUAAUGAUGGCCAUUCUGACUGGUAUGAGAUGGUACCUCAUAUUAGUUUUGAUUUACAUUUCUCUAAUGAUCAGUGAUGUUGAGCAUUUUUUCAUAUGCUUAUUGGCCUUCUAUAUAUCUUCUUUGGUGAAAUGUUUAUUCAGGUCUUUUGCCCACUUUCGAAUAGGGGUUGUUGGCUUUUUUGCUGUUGAGUUGUAUAAGUUGUUUCUAUAUUUUAGAGAUUAAACCCUUGUCAGUUGCAUCAUUUGAAACUAUUUUAUCCCAUUCUGUAAGUUAUCUUUUGGGGUUUUUUUUUUUUUUAAUGGCUUUCUUUGCUGUACAAAAGCUUGUCAGUUUGUUUAUAUCCCAUUGGUUUGUUUUUACUUUUAUUUCUGUUACCUUGGGAGACUGACCUGAGAAAACAUUUGAAGGGUUGUCUAUGUUCUCUUCUAGGAGUUUGAUGGUUUCUUGUCUUACAUUUAAGUCUUUAAGCCAUUUUGAGUAUAUUUUUGCACAUUCCAUUGACAAUUUAAAGGAGAUGCAGUUAUUUCUCUCUAUGGGCAAUUAAAUACUUUUAAUGGGAAUUUCAUGUUAUGAAUCAUAUUUCUUAUUAGGAAAAAAAAGGUAUUUACCCAUAUGCACAUAGAGGGAUAGUAAUGCUGACCCUCUGCCAGCAGUUGAGAUCAUGCAGAUGAAUGAAGAAAAGCUCCCUGUCCCUUCCAAGAAUCAGAUCCAUGGUUUACACAUUGUUUAGCAUUUUGCUUCAGCCAUUCACAGGUUAUCAACACUAUGCACAAUGAUAAUAAGUCAAGACACUAUGUUAGGACACAUGGCAAACAUGCACAAGUUUGAACUUUUCUUACUACUGGUAAUCCUUUUUUAAAAAUUAUGCUUUUAGUUACAUAUUACCUCAUAUGACUUUAUUAUGCUCAAAUAUGUUCUACACGUGAUAGAGCAGUAAGAAUGAUCUUAGCAUUUUCAGUCUUCAACUUAUACUUUAUUUGAGUUCUCUGGCAGCCUAGUGGUUAAAGAUUUGGCAUUGUCACUGCUGUGGCUCUGCUUACUUCUGUGGUGUAGGUUAGAUCCCUGGCCCAGGAACUCCUGCAUGCCAUAGGCACAGCCCCCCAAAUUAUAUUUUAUUUUAUUCUUACAGAGAAAAAAAAAGGUAAAAGGACUCCUUUGCAAUAGCAUGGCUUAGGACAAGUAGAUACUGUGUGGCAGUGAUCAGAGAUUCUGUAGAACAUCACUGUACCCUUUUCAACUCUUAGGAACACUGUUUUGGACAAUUGUAGACACAAGGGUUUGUUUUUUGUUUUUUGUUUUUUUCCUAUUAUGAUUAUAAAACAGAGAUCCAGAGAUUGAGGCCAGGAAGUCUAUAGUCUGUGUUGCUUCUUAACUAACUGUAUAAUUUUAGAUAAUGUAUUUUCCUUUGGUAUGUUUACAUUUAUCUCACUACAAAAUGAAGAUAAUGAGAUUUGCAUCACCAUUGUCAAUCUGAGGCACAGAUGAGAUAAUAAGUGUGAAUCACUUGGGGAUAUAUAAAGUCAUUUGUAAGUUUGAUAAUAAAUCAUAAUGCUGGAAAAUAAUUAUUGGUUCAGUUUAGUUUCUCACACAUGAAACUCAACACAUUCUUAGUACCUGACAGGCAGAGUGGCAUUGAGUGGUGAAGGUGAAAGUGGAUGAAGAAAUUCACUUAGCUGAAUUUAGGGAGAUGCCAAGAUCUUGGACCUCUUCAGAAUUAGGAAUUCUAUUGGGUUGAAUACUGUCCCAUCAAAAUAUGUCCUUCCCAGAACCCAGAAUGUGAGCUUAUUUGGAAAUACGCUUGCUUCAGAUAUAAUUAAGAUGAAGUCAUAUUGGAAUAGUGUGAGCUCUUAAUCCAACAUAACCAGUGUCUUUAUAAGAGGAGAAGAAACACACAUGGAUAUAUGCACAGAGGGCAAACUGCCAUGUGAAGAUGAAGGCAGAGAUUAGAGAUGUGCAGGACAAGCCAAGGAACUCCCAGCAUUGCUGGCAACUGCCAAAAGCUGACAGAGCAUCUUGGCACCUUGAUUUCAGACUGCUAGCCUUCAGAACUGUGAGAAAAUCUAUCUCUAUUUUUUAAAACACCCAAUUUGUCGUGCUUUUUUUACUGCAGCCCCAGCAAACAAAUACAGGAAUCAAGGAGGCUGCUGAGCCCACUUGGGCACUGAGGGACUUCCACAGAGGCCACCAAGUUAGAGUGGCCAUAACUAGCUCUUGGAAGCCACAUAUGUAGUCAGGGAUCCAAGAUCCAGAAAGACUAAUGAGCAAUAGUCAUCAAAAGAAUUCUUGGCACUCACCUGUACCAGACGUCAGUGUUUCUGCCAAUUUCUCUCUGCUCACUACCAAAGUCACUUUAACAGACUGUGAUGGGUUGGACAACUUCUGGUUUGAACCAACCCUUAAACAUGAAUGAGAGUAUAACCAAAAGGCCAGGUAUCUUGCUUUACAUUGGGGGAAAAAAAAAAAAAAA